AGAAAGCUAUGAACUAGUGGUGAUUGCUAUGUUAUAGCUAGAAAAAUCAAAAAGAGUCUAACAUGGCCAAACUUCCAUGCAAACAUCUCGUUCUCUUCGUGUUCGUCUUGCUUUGUUUCGUCUCCAUUACUGCUACUGCUCGAAACUUGCGGGAGAGUGUCGGUGGAGAAGGAACAAGUCACACGGAAACGCUUGUGGCGAAAGAAGGGCAACCAGCCGACGCAAAUGACUUGUUUUCAAUGGAUUAUACUCCGGCACGGAAGAAGCCGCCCAUACAUAACUUGUGAAAUAAUCUGAGAUGAAUGAAUGUUUUCUGGUACUGAAUCAUUCAUUUCCACAACCUUCAUCCAAUCGAUUUGAAUGUACAUAGAAAGAUAUUACCGUAUGUUAGAUAUGAUACAGUAAGAGAAGAACCAAGAAAAAAAAAAUGGCAGCAAUGAGAAUAGGGAAGUUUCUUAGGGCAUGUACACUAAAAUUUUGCAGAACUUUCUUUAGUGAUGGGGGCAUAUACUUGUAAGGUGUUUCCUCUUCCUUGUAGCUAGACAGUAAUGAAUCAUAUAUGCUUUCCAAUUC